AUCACAUUUGGUUACUACCAUCCACCCAUCAAUACACAGGGCAAGAAAAGACUCCAAAUUUUACAAAAAGUUAAAAAUGAAAGACUGGUGCAUUGUGCAGUUCAACACUGGUGGUACAGAAAUUGUCCCUAGUUCAUGGUUAAAUGGGAAGAAAUUGUCAUGGCCUCCAUAUCCUCCGCGAGACACAUUCAGGAUCCACGCCGCAGUAAAGAGGAGAGUUCAUCCUGGUGCAACAUGGCUCACCUAUGCACCAGUCCGGCUUCUCAUAAGCCAUGGUGGGUAUCAUCUAGAUUGGUGUUGUAUAAAUGUAACUAUAACAAGUUUUUCGUGUUCUACUUUUUGUGUGGCCAUACAUUGUGUUUGUACUUCCAGACACAUUUCAAGAAGCCGAACGCAGUCUCCAGAAAUAUCUCAGUGAACACUGUGAUACAUCUGACCUUCAGUCCGAAGCUGAAAGUCAGACCACUCUUAAAAGAAAGCACAAACCAAAUCCCCUGUACACGUAUAGUGACUCAGAGGAUGAGCAGCCCACAAAAAAAAGGUUUCCCCAGGCCCCUCGAGUGAAAAUACCAGGUAAUAAAAUAAUGUCUAGUGUCUGUGUACAUAACUGUGUGUCACACAUGGAAACUUCUUGGACAAGUUGUCUGUAUUCUUAAAUACUUUAAAAAAUUUAUCUUUUUCGAUACAGCCCUCAACGCUUCGCAGUCUUCCCCCCAGCCCACUGACAGCAGACAUCAUAAUGCCCCUCAGCUUCCGGCACCUUUCGCCACUCCGGGAGAACAUUCCGAACGACACACCUUUACAAUCUCCCCAGCAUGCAGAGUCUGAUGUAGAGGCCUUCCCUAUAGAUGAUUCCAGAGACUCUGUGAGGCCACUAUUACAAGAUGCGACCGCACAAAAGUUUUUAACAAUGCUGUCAGACCUGACGAGAUCUGUCAACGAACUGCGUGAGGAGGUCAGAGCCAUCCGCAAUACCGGCUCAAAUGAAUCUCUAGAUGCUGGGGUACUCCCUUUGGAUUUGCCCUUAAACAGCAUUGAGGAGCUAAACCAUGCAGAGGCAGCUCUUACGUCGCAAGAGGCAAUUAAGGCAAUGGUGAGACGCUUUGCCUUGAUUGGAGGGACCACACUUGAGGUGCGAGUCCGCCGUGUAAUGGCUUAUGCCAUUACAAAUGAGCUGGCCUCAGUACUAAACUGGGCAGGGAAAAAAACAAAGGACCAGACGAAGCAAAAAAAGGGCAUUUAAAGAUACUGCGCUGUGCAGAUGCAUAUUUGGUAAGUUUUACCGUUUAUUGUAGUUUUAUGAGGCUAAAGUGAACAAUAAAGGGAUCAAUUGAUCUGCUGGGUGUGUUUCACAUGUCCUAUGUCCGGUUUUUGUCCAAGAUGGCCUGACGCAGCAGUUAGGGGCAAACUCGAUGUCAGAGUUUCUCUUUGCACAGGCAGUGCAGAAGUGGCUACGGUACGCCCCAGACCGUUCGGGUGGUGCAGGACGCACAUCAUCCGUCCCCAUCCCGGGGGAGUAGUAAAAACUACAAAGUUAUAUUAAAAUAUAAAUGUAAAAUAGAAAACUGUGUUUAAAUAAAGUAUUUAGCAAACAAAACAUGUCUAUUGACCUUUUUUUGUUUAGUUUUUUUUUCUCUGUUACAUCACAUGCAAUGCUUUCUUAUUUUAGGAUAUUAAUAUUGACAAGAUACAUUGUGAGACAUUUGAUUUUUAUAAAGGGUGUCCAGUUUGAGGAUUCAGUGCAAUUAUGUGUUUAGGUGGUUUAAGUGUUUAUGGAAAC
ensembl:lncRNA